rnacentral:lncRNA from 1 species
GAUGGUCUACGGCAGCCCCCAGCCGGCUCCUGGGAUGGCUUGCAGCGCCCGCAGGCUUCUCCAGCCUCCAGAACUGCAGGAGCUGCGGUCCAAGCCAGCUCCUGGGCUCCGGGAGAAACUGAGGGCAAGGAGAUACAGACAAAACAGUUUUAGAUCCAGCUAGCUCAGCAAACUCGAAGCUGGAGGAAGAGGAUCUGUGGAUGAAGAUUUCCUAGAAAAGGACAGAAAGCAAGGACAAGGAAAAUAAAAAGCCAAAGAUCAAGUAUCUAAGAGAAAUGUAGAAACAUAGACACAGGGUGGCCUGACUACAGAACCAAGUCCUGGAAGAGAUGGGGCAUCAGCCAGACUCUACCCAGUGGACGCCAGCUAGGUGGAGUCUUCAUCCUGGAAGUGACCCUGUCCAUUUGCCCCCUGGAAGCCAGGAUGGGUCCUCAG